GGAGACUGGGUCACCAUGGUAACUAUAUCCACAGAACCCUGGUUUGACCAUGAAGCAGCUUGGAAGCUUGAGACGCUGUGGGUUGCUUUGCUUUGGGGGAAAUGGGGGAAGCGUGAGGAAAUGGAAUGGAAGCUCCCAUCCGGCUCAACAGCCUGCAAACAGCUGCUCACACUGUUGUGCAGCAUAUGAGGAAGAAUCUACUAUAGAGUUUGCUCCCAGUAAGGGAAGAAAAAAUGGAAUAAUUCCGACUGCAGUCAAGCUGAAGGCUUUUAAGGAGAGAAAGAGAGAGAGACUGCAAGAAAUGCCGAGGAGCUGAAGAAGGCCACUGAUUCAUCUUUCACUGCACCAGUGAAAUAUAACGUAGAAUGUAUGCAUGUCACAUCAUCAUAAAUGACCCUCUUCAAACACCAUCACAAAUUAUAUUCAUCAACUACAAUACUACAAAAAGCUCUCUAUGCAGUAACAACAAUAAAAAUAUUUAACAUUUA